rnacentral:rRNA from 1 species
CAGUCGCCGCGGUAAUACGAAGGGGGCUAGGGUUGUUCGGAAUUACUGGGCGUAAAGCGCACGUAGGCGGUUUUGUAAGUCAGAGGUGAAAGCCCGGAGCUCAACUCCGGAACUGCAUUUAAGACUGCAUCGCUUGAACGUCGGAGAGGUGAGUGGAAUUCCGAGUGUAGAGGUGAAAUUCGUAGAUAUUCGGAGGAACACCAGUGGCGAAGGCGGCUCACUGGUCCAUUACUGACGCUGAGGUGCGAAAGCGUGGGGAGCAAACAGGAUUAGAUACCCGAGUAGUCCCUGUCUCUUAUAC